UCAGACGAUGCGUCAUGCAUAUCAAUAAGCGGAGGAAAAGAAACUAACAAGGAUUCCCUUAGUAACGGCGAGUGAAGCGGGAAGAGCUCAAAUUUGAAAUCUUCAAGGUUUUACCUUGACGAAUUGUAGUUUAAAGAAGUGUUUUCUGUUAGUGAAGUUGGCUAAAAGUUCUUUGGAAUAGGACAUCAUAGAGGGUGAGAAUCCCGUAUUUGAUCAUUACUUUCUAGCUGUGUGAUACACUUUCAAAGAGUCGGAUUGUUUGGGAAUGCAGUCCAAAAUGGGUGGUAAAUUUCAUCUAAAGCUAAAUAUUGGCGAGAGACCGAUAGCGAACAAGUACCGUGAGGGAAAGAUGAAAAGAACUUUGAAAAGAGAGUUAAACAGUACGUGAAAUUGUCAAAAGGGAAGCGUUUGACACCAGUGUUGUUUUCUCGAAAAUCAAUUAAAAAGAGUUGGAUUUUGUGUUGUAUUGACCUUAACAGCUUGCAUUCACUCUUUUCCUGCUUUUUUUAAUGCACUUUUCGUUUAACAAGUCAACAUCAGUUUCUUUUGUUGUAAAAGGGUCAUUGGAAGGUGGCUUUCUCUUCGGAGAAAGUGUUUAUAGCCUUUGAUCUCUGCAAUCGGAGAGACUGAGGUCUGCAGCGUAGAUCCUUCGGGGUUAGAUACAUUUGUGCUAAGCUACAGCUUUUCAUAGACAACUUGUUGACUAUGUUUAGUCUUGUAACUUACCCGCUUAUGCUAUUUUACCUACGCUUAGGAUGUUGAUAUGCAUGACUGAUAU
rnacentral:rRNA from 1 species